AACCUCUCCGGUGGCUUAGUGGUUAGAGCGUCUCCCUCGGAUGCGGGAGGUCGUGGGUUCGAUCCCCGGUCGAGUCA